GAUGAACGCUGGCGGCGUGCCUAAUACAUGCAAGUCGAGCGAACAGACGAGGAGCUUGCUCCUCUGACGUUAGCGGCGGACGGGUGAGUAACACGUGGAUAACCUACCUAUAAGACUGGGAUAACUUCGGGAAACCGGAGCUAAUACCGGAUAAUAUAUUGAACCGCAUGGUUCAAUAGUGAAAGACGGUUUUGCUGUCACUUAUAGAUGGAUCCGCGCCGCAUUAGCUAGUUGGUAAGGUAACGGCUUACCAAGGCAACGAUGCGUAGCCGACCUGAGAGGGUGAUCGGCCACACUGGAACUGAGACACGGUCCCGACUCCUACGGGAGGCAGCAGUAGGGAAUCUUCCGCAAUGGGCGAAAGCCUGAAGGAGCAACGCCGCGUGAGUGAUGAAGGUCUUCGGAUCGUAAAACUCUGUUAUUAGGGAAGAACAAAUGUGUAAGUAACUAUGCACGUCUUGACGGUACCUAAUCAGAAAGCCACGGCUAACUACGUG
rnacentral:rRNA from 1 species